rnacentral:rRNA from 1 species
GACGAACGCUGGCGGCGUGCCUAAUACAUGCAAGUAGAACGCUGAAGCGAGGAGCUUGCUCUUCUUGGAUGAGUUGCGAACGGGUGAGUAACGCGUAGGUAACCUGCCUUGUAGCGGGGGAUAACUAUUGGAAACGAUAGCUAAUACCGCAUAACAAUGGAUGACCCAUGUCAUUUAUUUGAAAGGGGCAAAUGCUCCACUACAAGAUGGACCUGCGUUGUAUUAGCUAGUAGGUGAGGUAACGGCUCACCUAGGCGACGAUACAUAGCCGACCUGAGAGGGUGAUCGGCCAAACUGGGACUGAGACACGGCCCAGACUCCUACGGGAGGCAGCAGUAGGGAAUCUUCGGCAAUGGGGGCAACCCUGACCGAGCAACGCCGCGUGAGUGAAGAAGGUUUUCGGAUCGUAAAGCUCUGUUGUAAGUCAAGAACGAGUGUGAGAGUGGAAAGUUCACACUGUGACGGUAGCUUACCAGAAAGGGACGGCUAACUACGUG